rnacentral:rRNA from 1 species
GCAAGUCGAGCGGAAACAACACUAACAAUCUCGUUUCGUUAAUGGCCGUGGAGCGGCGGACGGGUGAGUAAUGCCUAGGAAAUUGCCUAGAAGUGGGGGAUAACCAGUGGAAACGAUUGCUAAUACCGCAUAAGGCCUACGGGUGAAAGAGGGGGAUCUUCGGACCUCUCGCGAUAAGAUAUGCCUACGUGAGAUUAGCUAGUUGGUGAGGUAAAGGCUCACCAAGGCGACGAUCCCUAGCUGGUCUGAGAGGAUGAUC